rnacentral:rRNA from 1 species
GAUGAACGCUAGCUACAGGCUUAACACAUGCAAGUCGAGGGGAAACGAUAUUGGAAGCUUGCUUCCGAUAGGCGUCGACCGGCGCACGGGUGAGUAACGCGUAUCCAACCUGCCCACCACUUGGGGAUAACCUUGCGAAAGUAAGACUAAUACCCAAUGACGUCUCUAGAAGGCAUCUGAAAGGGAUUAAAGAUUCAUCGGUGAUGGAUGGGGAUGCGUCUGAUUAGCUUGUUGGCGGGGUAACGGCCCACCAAGGCGACGAUCAGUAGGGGUUCUGAGAGGAAGGUCCCCCACAUUGGAACUGAGACACGGUCCAAACUCCUACGGGAGGCAGCAGUGAGGAAUAUUGGUCAAUGGGCGAGAGCCUGAACCAGCCAAGUAGCGUGCAGGAAGACGGCCCUAUGGGUUGUAAACUGCUUUUAUAGGGGAAUAAAGUGAGCCACGUGUGGUUUUUUGCAUGUACCCUAUGAAUAAGGACCGGCUAAUUCCGUG